ACUUGAGAUAGCUCAGUCUCUAGAGCAUGAGACCAUUCAUCUCUGGGCCAUGGGUUCGAGCCCCAUGUUGGGCA